rfam:Oryctes borbonicus contig17917, whole genome shotgun sequence.
GUGCCUUAAACUAAUGAGUAAGGAAAAUAUAUGAGCCUUGGUGACGCUUGGCUUUAUGCUAGUGCUCAUCUAGCCCGUAUAAUUUUUUGAGGGGCACAGGUCGUCCUCGUGAAUAGCUGCCUACUUUUGCAGUGGUUCAGUGUGACAGCGAUCUACCCC